UCAGAAGUUCCAGACAGACAAGUGAGGAGUCAGACUGCCUGGCUCUAGCAGCAGAGCCUGAGGGCUGUGGGAAAGGUCCGCCUAAGGCAGUGAGUGGCUAGCAUGGAGAUUAUUCCACUGGAACCCCAAGACACAGACCAGUGGCACCAGGGCAUGGCUUGGCCCUGUAGCAUGAAGGCGCCCUGGCUUGUGAGUUGUUCCUUCCACAUCUAUGGUGACCACAGCCUUCGGUCUUGAUAAGUAGAUGAUGUUGACUCAUGGCUUUGGCCUUCAAGUCACAAAACCACAGUCUGGCUCAGGACAUCAUUUUACUGGAGAGGAGAGAGAUGGCUGGUAAACGGACGACAGCAGUUCCCUGACCAAGAAUAAAGCCUGAAGUCUUUCAAAUGCAGAUUGACUGUGACAAUGCUGGCAUGGAGCUACAGACUUGGAAUCCCAGCUAUGGAGGAAGCCCAAGCAGGAGACUUGCAAGUAAAAUGUGAUCCACACACCUGAGCACCUGCUGGAGCCCAGAAACCUCUACUGUGGAGGGUCUACAACCAAGCAUGGGGUCAUUUGCAGACCUUGUUAGUACAUGGCUUUCAGACACAGAAAAACAAAUAUCACAUAAUCUUACUCAUACAGAACCAAAAAUAAAAAUUGAUCUCAAAGAAGAAAAGUUAGAAUAACAAUUACUAAAGACUAGAAAGUGGUUAGAGAAAAGAGGAUUGAACAAUAAAAUGCAUCCAACAAUACAGUCAGAUGGUGCCCUACAGUACAAUGCACUGACUAUUUACAGUG